rnacentral:sRNA from 1 species
GAUGAAAGGGCUCCCGCACCGCCCGGUGCUCACCAUCUGCCUGGCGUUGUGCGCAGAGCUGGAAAGCAGCUGUUGUAUGUAUUCUUGCGCCCGUGUGACAACAUUUAAACUUCUAAAAACGGAACCUCCUUCCGUUUUAGGAUUGCAAGUUAACCUAGGAAAAACAGCAUUCUGCAAAUUAUUUGCUGGAAAAUCUCGAUGACUUAAGGCCCAUGUAUUACUUUGCAGGGGUCUCUCACUGUAGUUUACUGGUGCAGAUUUUUUAAAAAUCCAUCUUAUCAAAAAAUACCGCUUAAGGUGGAAAAUUUCAAAUGCAAGUCGCCGUUGAUGAGAUUGCAAUUAAUAUAUUUAAGAUAGUGAACUAGAGAAAAACUACAGAUAAAUGAAUUCUGAUUUUGGGGAGCAGAUGCCAACUUAGAGCCUCGUACCAAUCUCUCUGUCUUUAAAAGGUGAGGUGACUUAGUGAUUUUCCUGGAAAAUUAUAGGGAAGCUGGAGGACUGUAGUUUUGCAUCCUAUCCUGCCCUGAGCCCCAUUUCGGGCUGUCAGCCAGCCUUGUCUCCA